UAACGAAUCUUCCGCAAUGCACGAAAGUGUGACGGAGCGACGCCGCGUGUGGGACGAAGCCCUUCGGGGUGUAAACCACUGUCAGAGGAUAGAAAGUUCUGAUCAUCCUCAGAGGAAGGCACGGCUAACUCUGUGCCAGCAGCCGCGGUAAGACAGAGGUGCCAAGCGUUAGGCGGAAUCACUGGGCUUAAAGCGUGUGUAGGUGGAUCUGUAAGUACCUUGUGAAAUCCCACGGCUUAACCGUGGAACUGCUCGGUAUACUGCGGAUCUUGAGCCAACUAGGGGUUACCGGAACAAAUGGUGGAGCGGUGAAAUGCGUAGAUAUCAUUUGGAACGCCAAUGGUGAAAACAGGUAACUGGGGUUGUGCUGACACUGAGACACGAAAGCCAGGGGAGCAAACGGGAUUAGAUACCCCCGUAGUCC
rnacentral:rRNA from 1 species